rnacentral:tRNA from 1 species
UUUCAGUUGGCAGAGCGCUCGACUCGCAUGCGUGAGGUCAUCGGUACGAGUCCCUGCUUU